UAGGAUUAUAAUUUUUCCUUUUAAUUAUCAAAUUCUUCUCCUUUGUUCAUCCUUAAUUCUAUAAAACUUUCGGCUAGUGUAAUUGAAUCUGAGUUUUGUUGCAGUCGAGGGGUGACCAUCACCCCAAUGUGUGGGAUAAAAAUUGUUGCUGUUGGAACGGAUGCAAAAGGAAACUGAAGCAAAUAAGGAUAAACUUGCUGCUCUCAUGAUAGAGUGUAUGAGGAAGGAGUUGAUGAGAUAUGUAAGAUAAUCCAUGACAAUGGUGGUCAGGUGUACAUGGAUGGAGUUAACAUGAAUGCACAGGUGUUCAAAAUGAAGAAGGAGUUGAGAUUUUUGAAUUGUUGAUAGAUGCUUUAAUAUCGAUCUUUUUGAUAUUGAAUUUUGUGAAACUUAUCGCCACUCGAACUUGAUACUAUAUGAGAAAACUAAUGAUCAUUUGACUUUAUACAUUUUGCUUUUGGGUUUA